UCUGUCCCAUGGCAGGAUAUGGACGGGGAGCGGUGAACUGUCCUCCUCCUCUCUCCCGGGUAGGACAGCAGGCUCCCAGACCUGGGAAAACCUCCAGGAGGAGCACUUGGCACUUGCAGAGGCUGGAUUUUCUGCGUGGCAGGAUGAGAGCUCCACAGAGACGGUGUGGACCCAGAAGCCUGGACCACUCAGAGCCCCGAGAGGCUGAGUCACACCCACAUGUGUGAGAAACACCGACAGUGUCACAGCAUCGAAGGAUGCUGGAGCGGGUGUGGUCUUGUUGGAAGGAAAAGGGUCUGCGGUGGGACAGCUGGGCCAACCCCGGGGUCCCCUGGCUCCCAUGCACACCCACGGGGCACUUGGCCUGCCUCCUUAUUUCCGGGCAACUGCGCACCUGCUUCUCCCUCUGGGAGCCUCCCGGCCCUCCUGCCUUCUUGGCUUUCGUUAAGGUGGUUGAGAUAGAACUGUCCCAUAAUUCCGUGUGUUUAACCCUCUCUGGGCUGGGUCUCAACAGACCCGCACUGACAUGAAAUUGGUCACAGUCCAGGCAGAAAAUGUAACCCAUUCCAGAAAUCUCCGCGGUUAAGGUUAUGAAGGCACUGGAGGAGAUGAGAGGGCAGACAAGGGUGAAAGGCAGUCUUGAGAGUAGCAACCACUGGAAAAUGCUACCAUUCUUGGGUGGAAAGUCACAGAGAGGAGAUGAUGUUUCCAGAACCGGAGAGACUGGAAUCCUGGUGGAGGUUUCCUGGCAGGAACUGGGACCGCAGAGGUGACCUGCCAGGGUAGAACGACUCUGGUUUCUACCCUCCUGGCUGUGGCUGUUGGGACCUUGGCAAAUGUGGCCUGCAGGGAUCAGCCUCCUAGGGGAGGGAGCAGGGUGCAGGAGGGGAGGACCCGGAUCUGAGGGCAAACAAGCAAACGACCUGCCUAAUCUCCAGCUAGUCAGACCUUUGAAAGAGACUGCAUCCCUCCAAGGGGCGAUCCAGAGGGUUGGCCCUAAACUUGCCUCUGGAAAUUGUCCCAGAUCCUCUACUGGUUACUGUAAUUAGUGGUAAUGCCUAAGCAUUAUCCCUGCUGGGACUGAGGCAGAGAAAGUACCAUUUUUUCAAGCAGAUCUGCUUCUUGUGUAUUUUUCGAAGGCUAUGGGAACCUCUGGUUCUUGACCAAGCACCAGGUUUGACGAUAAAAUCAGUCUCGAGGGACGGAAAGAUCUAUGGCAGACACUCGGGCAGACUUACACGCGUGUUAGGAGGGACACUGGACUCAGGGUCAGGAGACCUGAGGGUAUGUCUUGGCUCAGACAAGUUGCUUACCAUCUUUGAGCCUCAGGCUGCACAUCUUUCAAAUGGGGACUCUGUGUUUGCCAGGGUUCUGUAGAAGUGAGCAACAGAAUGCACGCAAGGGGGGUUGUAGACGAUAGAACGUUCAGACAGAGAGUCUUGUGCCUGGGAAUGCACACGAUCACAGGAAUGUUGCUCAGCUCUGUUUCGGGGUCGAUGUAUCCCUUUGGAGUGGACACCUAUAACCCUUGUCUUGUAACCACAGAAUCGAACACGGCUGGAUUCCAGGCAGCUUGUCCAAACUUUCUCCUGAAGGAGGAACCUGUUCUCCAAAGUUCUCAAAGAUGAUCCUUCCCCCCCUCCCUUCCACAAAUAUUUGGAGCACCCACGCUUUGUCAGGCACUGUGCUGGUCCUGGGGCAGUAAUGGAGACAGAUAUGGGCCUCGUCCUCACCGAGCUGACAGUCUAGCACUUGAUGAAAGUCUCUGCAAACAAUUUCUGUUGAAUACCUUCAGUAACAGGAUGCUCGCCACCUUACAGGACGG